GACGAACGCUGGCGGCGUGCUUAACACAUGCAAGUCGAACGGAAAGGCCCUGCUUUUGUGGGGUGCUCGAGUGGCGAACGGGUGAGUAACACGUGAGUAACCUGCCCUUGACUUUGGGAUAACUUCAGGAAACUGGGGCUAAUACCGGAUAGGAGCUCCUGCUGCAUGGUGGGGGUUGGAAAGUUUCGGCGGUUGGGGAUGGACUCGCGGCUUAUCAGCUUGUUGGUGGGGUAGUGGCUUACCAAGGCUUUGACGGGUAGCCGGCCUGAGAGGGUGACCGGCCACAUUGGGACUGAGAUACGGCCCAGACUCCUACGGGAGGCAGCAGUGGGGAAUAUUGCACAAUGGGCGGAAGCCUGAUGCAGCAACGCCGCGUGCGGGAUGACGGCCUUCGGGUUGUAAACCGCUUUCGCCUGUGACGAAGCAUGAGUGGCGGUAAUGGGUAAAGAAGCACCGGCUAACUACGUG
rnacentral:rRNA from 1 species